CCUACGGGAGGCAGCAGUGGGGAAUUUUGGACAAUGGGCGCAAGCCUGAUCCAGCAAUGCCGCGUGCAGGAUGAAGGCCUUCGGGUUGUAAACUGCUUUUGUACGGAACGAAAAAGCUCUGGUUAAUACCUGGGGCCCAUGACGGUACCGUAAGAAUAAGCACCGGCUAACUACGUGCCAGCAGCCGCGGUAAUACGUAGGGUGCAAGCGUUAAUCGGAAUUACUGGGCGUAAAGCGUGCGCAGGCGGUUAUGUAAGACAGAGGUGAAAUCCCCGGGCUCAACCUGGGAACUGCCUUUGUGACUGCAUAGCUGGAGUGCGGCAGAGGGGGAUGGAAUUCCGCGUGUAGCAGUGAAAUGCAUAGAUAUGCGGAGGAACACCGAUGGCGAAGGCAAUCCCCUGGGCCUGCACUGACGCUCAUGCACGAAAGCGUGGGGAGCAAACAGGAUUAGAUACCCUGGUAGUCCACGCCCUAAACGAUGUCAACUGGUUGUUGGGAAUUCACUUUCUCAGUAACGAAGCUAACGCGUGAAGUUGACCGCCUGGGGAGUACGGCCGCAAGGUUAAAACUCAAAUGAAUUGACGG
rnacentral:rRNA from 1 species